AGUCAAUUAGGAUCGAUAUACCUUGUAUAUCCACAAGGUGGCAGUAAUGCAAAAACAGUUGUAAUGAAACCGCGCAGAACAAGAAGGUUUCACGGCUUGUGCCUGCUCAUGCGCAAGACUUCAAAUUUAACUGAAAAAGGCUGUUUUGGCGCCAAGCUACUGUUUCUUUGAGAGAUCCUGCCUUUACCUGCUCCCUCCUAUACUGAUGUGGUGUAUGUGGUAUUGCUGAGCUUGUAUGUGGUGGAAGCAGAAUAUGUGAGGAUUACUACUGCUGCACAUGUUCCAAGGCUUUUUACACAACUUGACCAAUACACUGACCAGCUCAUAAAAGUCUUCAAGAAAAAAGGAGGCGUUGCAGGGAAGAAAAUUAGACAAACUUUGGCCCCAGCCACACAGAAGGAAAGUAUUGAAAAGGGGAGGGAGUGUGUCCUCAGGGCACUACCUUUUUACCUGAAUGAAGACCCAAGCAUCCUCUUCAAAGAAUAAUUGCUACAGCUGUUCAGAGGGAGCUGGAACAAAUUACCCUUGCUAUCUUUACC